ensembl:snoRNA SNORD29 Small nucleolar RNA SNORD29
AUCCUAUGAUAAAUCAAACUAGCUCAGUAUGACUUACUCAAUGAAAACACGUGAACAACUGAGGAAC